UACGUAGGGACCAAGCGUUGUUCGGAUUUACUGGGCGUAAAGGGCGCGUAGGCGGCGUGGUAAGUCACUUGUGAAAUCUCUGAGCUUAACUCAGAACGGCCAAGUGAUACUGAUGUGCUAGAGUGCAGAAGGGGCAACCGGAAUUCUUGGUGUAGCGGUGAAAUGCGUAGAUAUCAAGAGGAACACCUGAGGUGAAGACGGGUUGCUGGGCUGACACUGACGCUGAGGCGCGAAAGCUAGGGUAGCAAACGGG
rnacentral:rRNA from 1 species